AUUUGUGGAGACCUUCAGAUAGAAAAUGCAGUUCAAAGAUAUUUCAUAAAGGAAGAAAAGAAGUAUGAAGACAGGAUAGCAAAUACAGAAAGAAUUCUUGUGAUAAUAGAGAACACAGAACUGUUGAACGGUGUUGAAGCUGAGCUGGAGAGAGUCACCAAAGCUGGCACGGAAGCUGGCAAGGUCGGAGAGUUUCCUGCCUGGGCACAGCUUGAGCUCGCCCCUGCGCCACCGCCAGUGGCAGAAACUGCAGACCACCUGGGCCCUGAGGCCUCCGCCGCAUCCUCCCACCAGCCAGGAGCUGUGCAGAGGUCGCAGAUAGGCGACCCUGGAGGGGUGCAACUGAGGGAAGGCGGCCCAUGUUCCGGACAGCAGCAGGACACC
rnacentral:lncRNA from 1 species